GUUGUGGCUCAGUGGUACAGCACUUGCCUCACAUGUAUGAGGCCCUGGGUUUGAUCCUCAGCACAACA
rnacentral:tRNA from 2 species